CUAAUUUUUACAGGUUGACCUCGGAUCAGGUAGGGAUACCCGCUGAACUU
rnacentral:rRNA from 1 species